rnacentral:rRNA from 1 species
GUGGGGAAUCUUGCGCAAUGGGCGAAAGCCUGACGCAGCCAUGCCGCGUGAAUGAUGAAGGUCUUAGGAUUGUAAAAUUCUUUCACCGGGGACGAUAAUGACGGUACCCGGAGAAGAAGCUCCGGCUAACUUCGUGCCAGCAGCCGCGGUAAUACGAAGGGGGCUAGCGUUGCUCGGAAUUACUGGGCGUAACGGGCGCGUAGGCGGACAGCUUAGUCAGAGGUGAAAGCCCAGGGCUCAACCUUGGAAUUGCCUUUGAUACUGGCUGUCUUGAGUGUGGGAGAGGUGAGUGGAACUCCGAGUGUAGAGGUGAAAUUCGUAGAUAUUCGGAAGAACACCAGUGGCGAAGGCGACUCACUGGCCAAAUACUGACGCUGAGGCGCGAAAGCGUGGGGAGCAAACAGGAUUAGAAACCCGGGUAGUCC